GAAAAAAUGAUGCCGUUGAACGCAAAUCAAAUGCUCACUAGAAUAAAGUACAAAAUAAUUGAUUUACGAGCUCGAUUGGGUGCCACUCAUAAACAUAAGAAGAUAUCGAUACAGUCCCAUGAUAUCCACAUAAAGUUGAGUUGUAGCAAAGAUUACUUCGUUAGGACUAAGCUCCAAUUUUCUGCCACCCAUAAUGUGAAAACACAAGUGCUCCCAGGAUACCAAUUAUCGUUAUGAUGAGUUUGACUCGUGUGAACAUCAGCGUGAAUAUC